rnacentral:rRNA from 1 species
GUGCCAGCAGCCGCGGUAAUACGAAGGGGCUAGCGUUGUUCGGAAUUACUGGGCGUAAAGCGCACGUAGGCGGACCAUUAAGUCAGGGGUGAAAUCCCGGGGCUCAACCCCGGAACUGCCUUUGAUACUGGUGGUCUCGAGUUCGAGAGAGGUGAGUGGAAUUCCGAGUGUAGAGGUGAAAUUCGUAGAUAUUCGGAGGAACACCAGUGGCGAAGGCGGCUCACUGGCUCGAUACUGACGCUGAGGUGCGAAAGCGUGGGAGCAAACAGGAUUAGAUACCCUGGUAGUCCACGCCGUAAACGAUGGAAGCUAGCCGUUGGCAGGUUUACCUGGUCGGUGGCGCGAGCUAACGCAUUAAGCCUUCCCG